UAGUUAAUGUCACUGGUAAGGUCAGGUCUGGGGUACGCUGUCAAAGACAGCAGCAACGGUGCUCAGUUUCUGCUCUGGAGCUACCUGUGGAGUACAGACAAGGCACUGUUUACUCCAAAGGCCUGCUGAAGAGGGGAAGGUAUCACUGUUCACAGAUGGGGAGUGGGACCGGGCGUAGGCCAGGUAGUAUCUCCCUGCCCGUGGACACACGCCCCAGCUCGUGCAGGGUAUGAUAACAAUGCCUUUGGCACCACCUCCGCUAUUAUCUGCUACCAACCACUUGCGGCCUAAACUAAUGUCAAGAGCCUGACCCACACCAAAGCUGCCUCAUAAAUCACGUGAAAAGGGGAAUUAAUAUCUACAACUACAUGCUAAUCAGGCAUGAGGACCCAUGAUGGGGGGCCUCCACUAUUUAGUUCUCUAAAUCUGAAGGGUGGAGACGUUUGUCACAAGUUUUCAUUAAUUUCUUUUCCCUUCCCUUUUGAAAACCCAGUCAGCGGGUUGAGCCCAGAGGAGUGUGUCAGAGUGACACAGGUUCUGGCUACUGAUAAGGACGUCAAGAAACCUAAUCACAAUAGACAUGCGCCUUAGAAACGUAUAAAAUGUGACAAUAACAACAGCUCUUUGGAGCUCCCUCUCAGCUGGUCUGGGACCCCUCUUCUUGCGUCCUGCACGCUUGAGACCCUCGCCCAACGUGGAACAGGUCGUAUUGCCCCUGCUUGCUCUGAUGACCAACUGUACCUGGAACCUUGGAUUAGCGUAUGCUGAAUUAAGAGUGCCCACAAGGACUUUUACUUUUUGUGUGUUGCGUAAUGUUGUUUUUGAUUUGGCUGCGUGUUUGGCAACCUAAGUUGUAACAGUUUAGCAUUUAUUCUUUUAAUUUUUGUCGUGUGAUUUGUGCAUCAUCGUUAUGGAUUCUCGUAUGGUUGUAAUAGUGUUGAUAGGAUUUUGGAUAAUGAGCGCUAAGUUAGUAUCUGUACAGGAACAGCAUAGAGGGGACACUCGUGAUCUUCCCCAGGAAAAUCUCGCCUUUGAAAUGAUUAAGGGAUUUUAUCGCCUAUUUAACACGUCUGGUGGAGGAAUUUGUCUGGAAAUACCAGGUAGUGCUGGAACUGGCCUUCCGUUUGGGGCAUUUGAUGUGAAUUUCAAACAUUUAUAUGAAACAUUUAACUUGACAGUAAAUCAGACAAAGGUAAUAUGGGAAUAUAAUGACACCUUUAGGUGUCCAGCUAAACGUUGUUAUGGAGUUAACACUACCAGACUUGUUACCCAUACCUUUUCAAUAACCAAUUUCACUAAGGGGCUACUAUGUAAUAACUGACAUCAUGCACCUGAGUAUGGACUUUGAGGGUGAAAGGAUAUAUUUAGGUAAUUCAACUUGGGAUACACUUUUCCCGUGUGAUGUUUUAAAUUGGUGGCCCAGCAGCAACUGGGGAAAUCCCAUAAAUCAUCCUUAUACCAUUCGACAAAAUAUGAGUUGGUGUUUUCAAUUUCCCCGAUUACCAGGUAAUGACUGUCCAUGGCCCGGGAUGACCUAUAAAUAUAAAUAUAAUGUUAGUGCCUCUUGUGUCUGGUCACUGUAUUUUUGGGCAGGACUAAAAGGGCAACAGGGACACCACUCCUAGGAUCCUUUAGACACUUAUAUUAUAAAGAAGGAUGUACCUCAUUCCCCCCUAUGGCACUGUCAAAAGGUAAUAAAUUGUACCAAUUUUGAUGAUUUGCUACCUUUCGUAUGGCGGACUGAAUCUUUAGUAACAGCUUAUCGCCAGGCUUGUUUAUGUUACAAUUAUACAAUCCCACUCCCACCAGAAUUAGAGAAAAUGCACCUUUGUAAUGUCACUCUUGGACCUAAAGGUAUCCAAGACAUAACAUUAUGUGAAAAUAUCACUUUAUGGUGUAAGAUGCCACUCUGGCAUUUUGUAACUGCCUCCGAUGGUAUUAUAUAUAGGCAUGAUUCACGUUAUGAUGAUUCCUAUUGUUCUACGGCAUUGUUUAGCAGCCCACGUGACACCAUGUGGAUAUGCUCAGAUGGAAACAUGUAUUCCCAUAUUCAGCCGCAACAGCAUGCAGGCUUACGGUGUGGUUUAGGAAUCCCAACAAUGUGUCCACACAAAAUAGCCACUUAUAAAUUACCAGGUCGAAUGAAAAGAAGUGAAGGACCUAAACACCCAGGGUUCGGAUAUAUUGAGUCUUGGAAGAUACCUGAGUAUUAUACUUUUGGACAAGCAGUAACCUUAGGCCUGCAAUCAAUUUUUAUGCCUGGGUCAAUGACAGAACCCAUCAGUUUGCCAUUGAGAACCUGACUUGGCAAGUUCAUCUUUUGUCAAACUGGUCACAAACAGCUUUUGGAGCAAUGAAUUUACAAGUGCAAGCUGUUUCAAAAAUGGCUUUUCAAAAUCGGUUAGCAUUGGACAUGAUAUUGUUAAAGGAAAAAGGUGUAUGUGGACUAUUGAAUCAUACAGAAGAGGAAUGUUGUAUGGUGAUCCCCAUCGUAUCAUCGACCAUCACUCGGGCCAGAGAGGAGUUUAAGAAGAUCGCCGACACCACGUUAGAGUUGUUCCACCGAAUACAACCUGAUGCGUCAGGACCCAUCGGAUGGAUUGGUUCAGCCUUUAAAUGGAUGGGACGGACAAUCCAACAAUGGAUUGCGAGCUUGCUUGAAUAUGGUGUGAUUAUAGUUAUUGUGUGCAUAGGCAUAAGCUGCUUAAAACAAGUAAUUGUUACGUCUGUCACUAAACAAAGCAACAUCCUGAACGUUUCUUUAGAAGAAUAUGUCCCCCUGGUGCAGCAAAACAGCGACACCUACCGGGACAGCCCGCAUGGCGCUUGGUAGUGACAAAGUCCCGGGGUGGAUAACGUGGAGAACAGACAAGGCACUGUUUACUCCAAAGGCCUGCUGAAGAGGGGAAGGUAUCACUGUUCACAGAUGGGGAGUGGGACCGGGCGUAGGCCAGGUAGUAUCUCCCUGCCCGUGGACACACGCCCCAGCUCGUGCAGGGUAUGAUAACAAUGCCUUUGGCACCACCUCCGCUAUUAUCUGCUACCAACCACUUGCGGCCUAAACUAAUGUCAAGAGCCUGACCCACACCAAAGCUGCCUCAUAAAUCACGUGAAAAGGGGAAUUAAUAUCUACAACUACAUGCUAAUCAGGCAUGAGGACCCAUGAUGGGGGGCCUCCACUAUUUAGUUCUCUAAAUCUGAAGGGUGGAGACGUUUGUCACAAGUUUUCAUUAAUUUCUUUUCCCUUCCCUUUUGAAAACCCAGUCAGCGGGUUGAGCCCAGAGGAGUGUGUCAGAGUGACACAGGUUCUGGCUACUGAUAAGGACGUCAAGAAACCUAAUCACAAUAGACAUGCGCCUUAGAAACGUAUAAAAUGUGACAAUAACAACAGCUCUUUGGAGCUCCCUCUCAGCUGGUCUGGGACCCCUCUUCUUGCGUCCUGCACGCUUGAGACCCUCGCCCAACGUGGAACAGGUCGUAUUGCCCCUGCUUGCUCUGUAUGUAGUGUACUGUGUUAUUUUCACCCUGUUAAAUACGGAACUUGCUAUAUUGUUUAAACUCUCUUGCUUAAGGAUACUGGUGUACUUAAUAAAUAUCUGAAACCCGAUAA